UACUGCAAGUGAACGCACAGCGAAAGGUGCUUGCACCUUAUACAAGUGAGUGGCGAACGGGUGAGUAACACGUGGACAACCUGCCUCAAGGCUGGGGAUAACAUUUGGAAACAGAUGCUAAUACCGAAUAAAACUUAGUGUCGCAUGACACAAAGUUAAAAGGCGCUUCGGCGUCACCUAAAGAUGGAUCCGCGGUGCAUUAGUUAGUUGGUGGGGUAAAGGCCUACCAAGACAAUGAUGCAUAGCCGAGUUGAGAGACUGAUCGGCCACAUUGGGACUGAGACACGGCCCAAACUCCUACGGGAGGCUGCAGUAGGGAAUCUUCCACAAUGGGCGAAAGCCUGAUGGAGCAACGCCGCGUGUGUGAUGAAGGCUUUCGGGUCGUAAAGCACUGUUGUAUGGGAAGAACAGCUAGAAUAGGAAAUGAUUUUAGUUUGACGGUACCAUACCAGAAAGGGACGGCUAAAUACGUGCCAGCAGCCGCGGUAAUACGUAUGUCCCGAGCGUUAUCCGGAUUUAUUGGGCGUAAAGCGAGCGCAGACGGUUUAUUAAGUCUGAUGUGAAAGCCCGGAGCUCAACUCCGGAAUGGCAUUGGAAACUGGUUAACUUGAGUGCAGUAGAGGUAAGUGGAACUCCAUGUGUAGCGGUGGAAUGCGUAGAUAUAUGGAAGAACACCAGUGGCGAAGGCGGCUUACUGGACUGCAACUGACGUUGAGGCUCGAAAGUGUGGGUAGCAAACAGGAUUAGAUACCCUGGUAGUCCACACCGUAAACGAUGAACACUAGGUGUUAGGAGGUUUCCGCCUCUUAGUGCCGAAGCUAACGCAUUAAGUGUUCCGCCUGGGGAGUACGACCGCAAGGUUGAAACUCAAAGGAAUUGACGGGGACCCGCACAAGCGGUGGAGCAUGUGGUUUAAUUCGAAGCAACGCGAAGAACCUUACCAGGUCUUGACAUCCUUUGAAGCUUUUAGAAAAAGUUUCUUCGGAGACA
rnacentral:rRNA from 1 species